UAGGGAAUCUUCGGCAAUGGACGAAAGUCUGACCGAGCAACGCCGCGUGAGUGAAGAAGGUUUUCGGAUCGUAAAACUCUGUUGUUAGAGAAGAACGUUGCAUAGAGUGGAAAAUUAUGCAAGUGACGGUAUCUAACCAGAAAGGGACGGCUAACUACGUGCCAGCAGCCGCGGUAAUACGUAGGUCCCGAGCGUUGUCCGGAUUUAUUGGGCGUAAAGCGAGCGCAGGUGGUUUAAUAAGUCUGAUGUAAAAGGCAGUGGCUCAACCAUUGUGUGCAUUGGAAACUGUUAGACUUGAGUGCAGUAGAGGAGAGUGGAAUUCCAUGUGUAGCGGUGAAAUGCGUAGAUAUAUGGAGGAACACCGGUGGCGAAAGCGGCUCUCUGGACUGUCACUGACACUGAGGCUCGAAAGCGUGGGUAGCAAACAGGAUUAGAUAGCCCUGGUAGUCCACGCCGUAAACGGUGAGUGCUA
rnacentral:rRNA from 1 species